UACGAAGGGGGCUAGCGUUGCUCGGAUUGACUGGGCGUAAAGGGCGCGUAGGCGGUUCGUACAGUCAGACGUGAAAUUCCUGGGCUCAACCUGGGGGCUGCGUUUGAUACGUGCGGACUUGAGUGCGGAAGAGGGUCGUGGAAUUCCCAGUGUAGAGGUGAAAUUCGUAGAUAUUGGGAAGAACACCGGUGGCGAAGGCGGCGACCUGGUCCGAUACUGACGCUCAUGUGCGAAAGCGUGGGGAGCAAACAGG
rnacentral:rRNA from 1 species